rnacentral:rRNA from 1 species
AGAGUUUGAUCCUGGCUCAGGAUGAACGCUAGCGGCAGGCUUAACACAUGCAAGUCGCGGGGCAGCGAGGGUAGCAAUACCUGUCGGCGACCGGCGGAAGGGUGCGUAACGCGUGAGCAACAUGCCCGUAUCAGGGGGAUAACCGAUGGAAACGUCGCCUAAUACCCCAUAACAACGAGGGCCGCAUGACCCAUGUUUGAAAGUUAUGGCGGAUACGGAUUGGCUCGCGUGACAUUAGCUAGUUGGCGGGGUAACGGCCCACCAAGGCGACGAUGUCUAGGGGUUCUGAGAGGAAGGUCCCCCACACUGGAACUGAGACACGGUCCAGACUCCUACGGGAGGCAGCAGUGAGGAAUAUUGGUCAGGCCCUAUGGGUCGUAAACUGCUUUUGCUGUGGAGCAAUAAGUGUUACGUGUAGCACGAUGAGAGUACACAGCGAAUAAGCAUCGGCUAACUCCGUGCCAGCAGCCGCGGUAAUACGGAGGAUGCGAGCGUUAUCCGGAUUUAUUGGGUUUAAAGGGUGCGUAGGCUGUUCGUCAAGUCAGUGGUGAAAUGCCGGGGCUCAACCCCGGAGCUGCCAUUGAUACUGUCGGGCUUGAAUCCUGCUGCCGUGGGAGGAAUGAGUAGUGUAGCGGUGAAAUGCAUAGAUAUUACUCAGAACACCGAUUGCGAAGGCAUCUCACGAAACAGGCAUUGACGCUGAGGCACGAAAGCGUGGGGAUCAAACAGGAUUAGAUACCCUGGUAGUCCACGCAGUAAACGAUGAUGACUAACCGCUGGCGAUACACGGUCAGUGGCCAAGCGAAAGCGAUAAGUCAUCCACCUGGGGAGUACGACCGCAAGGUUGAAACUCAAAGGAAUUGACGGGGGCCCGCACAAGCGGAGGAACAUGGUUUAAUUCGAUGAUACGCGAGGAACCUUACCCGGGCUCGAACGGCAGACGAACGAUGCAGAGAUGCAAAGGUCCUUCGGGACGUCUGUCGAGGUGCUGCAUGGUUGUCGUCAGCUCGUGUCGUGAGAUGUUGGCUCAAGUGCCAUAACGAGCGCAACCCUUGCCGCCAGUUACCAUCAAGUAAAGUUGGGGACUCUGGCGGGACUGCCACCGUAAGGUGUGAGGAAGGCGGGGAUGACGUCAAAUCAGCACGGCCCUUACGUCCGGGGCGACACACGUGUUACAAUGACGCCUACAGAGGGAAGCCACCCGGCGACGGGGAGCAGAUCUCGAAAAGGCGCCUCAGUUCGGACUGGAGUCUGCAACCCGACUCCACGAAGCUGGAUUCGCUAGUAAUCGCGCAUCAGCCAUGGCGCGGUGAAUACGUUCCCGGGCCUUGU